AUAAACCUUGAUAAUAAAAUACAAAUAUUAUCCGCCAGGGAACUACAAGCGCAUUGCUUAAAACCCAACGGACUUGGCGGUGCCCCACACCCACCUAGAGGAGCCUGUUCUAUAACUGACAAUCCCCGUUAAACCUCACCACUUCUAGCCCUACCAGUCUAUAUACCACCGUCGUAAGCUCACCCUGUGAAGGAAACAACAGUAAGCAAGAUGGGCACAGCCCAAAACGUCAGGUCGAGGUGUAGCACAUGAAGUGGGAAGAAAUGGGCUACAUUUUCUGAAACAGAAUAUACGAAUAUCACCAUGAAACCUGGUGCUCGAAGGAGGAUUUAGCAGUAAAAAGAAAACAGAGCGUUCUUUUGAAACCG
rnacentral:rRNA from 1 species